rnacentral:rRNA from 1 species
UGAACGCUGGCGGCGUGCCUAAUACAUGCAAGUCGAGCGAACAGACGAGGAGCUUGCUCCUCUGACGUUAGCGGCGGACGGGUGAGUAACACGUGGAUAACCUACCUAUAAGACUGGGAUAACUUCGGGAAACCGGAGCUAAUACCGGAUAAUAUAUUGAACCGCAUGGUUCAAUAGUGAAAGACGGUUUUGCUGUCACUUAUAGAUGGAUCCGCGCCUCAUUAGCUAGUUGGUAAGGUAACGGCUUACCAAGGCAACGAUGCGUAGCCGACCUGAGAGGGUGUUCGGCCACACUUGAACUGAGACACGGUCCACACUCCUACGGGAGUCAGCAGUAUGGAAUCUUACGCAAUGGGCGAAAGCCUGACGGUGCCACUCCGCGUGAGUGAUGAAGGUCUUCGGAUCGUAAAUCUCUGUUAGUAGGGAAGACCAAAUGUGUAAGUAACUAUGCACGUCUUGACGGUACCUAAUCAGAAAGCCACGGCUAACUACGUG